GACGAACUUUGGCGGCGUGCUUAACACAUGCAAGUCGAACGGAAAGGCCCUGCUUUUGUGGGGUGCUCGAGUGGCGAACGGGUGAGUAACACGUGAGUAACCUGCCCUUGACUUUGGGAUAACUUCAGGAAACUGGGGCUAAUACCGGAUAGGAGCUCCUGCUGCAUGGUGGGGGUUGGAAAGUUUCGGCGGUUGGGGAUGGACUCGCGGCUUAUCAGCUUGUUGGUGGGGUAGUGGCUUACCAAGGCUUUGACGGGUAGCCGGCCUGAGAGGGUGACCGGCCACAUUGGGACUGAGAUACGGCCCAGACUCCUACGGGAGGCAGCAGUGGGGAAUAUUGCACAAUGGGCGGAAGCCUGAUGCAGCAACGCCGCGUGCGGGAUGACGGCCUUCGGGUUGUAAACCGCUUUCGCCUGUGACGAAGCGUGAGUGACGGUAAUGGGUAAAGAAGCACCGGCUAACUACGUGCCAGCAGCCGCGGUGAUACGUAGGGUGCGAGCGUUGUCCGGAUUUAUUGGGCGUAAAGGGCUCGUAGGUGGUUGAUCGCGUCGGAGGUGUAAUCUUGGGGCUUAACCCUGAGCGUGCUUUCGAUACGGGUUGACUUGAGGAAGGUAGGGGAGAAUGGAAUUCCUGGUGGAGCGGUGGAAUGCGCAGAUAUCAGGAGGAACACCAGUGGCGAAGGCGGUUCUCUGGGCCUUUCCUGACGCUGAGGAGCGAAAGCGUGGGGAGCGAACAGGCUUAGAUACCCUGGUAGUCCACGCUGUAAACGGUGGGUACUAGGUGUGGGGUCCAUUCCACGGGUUCCGUGCCGUAGCUAACGCUUUAAGUACCCCGCCUGGGGAGUACGGCCGCAAGGCUAAAACUCAAAGGAAUUGACGGGGCCCCGCACAAGCGGCGGAGCAUGCGGAUUAAUUCGAUGCAACGCGUAGAACCUUACCUGGGUUUGACAUGGAUCGGGAGUGCUCAGAGAUGGGUGUGCCUCUUUUGGGGUCGGUCCACAGGUGGUGCAUGGCUGUCGUCAGCUCGUGUCGUGAGAUGUUGGGUUAAGUCCCGCAACGAGCGCAACCCUUGUUCACUGUUGCCAGCACGUUAUGGUGGGGACUCAGUGGAGACCGCCGGGGUCAACUCGGAGGAAGGUGGGGAUGACGUCAAGUCAUCGUGCCCCUUAUGUCCAGGGCUUCACGCAUGCUACAAUGGCUGGUACAGAGAGUGGCGAGCCUGUGAGGGUGAGCGAAUCUCGGAAAGCCGGUCUCAGUUCGGAUUGGGGUCUGCAACUCGACCUCAUGAAGUCGGAGUCGCUAGUAAUCGCAGAUCAGCAACGCUGCGGUGAAUACGUUCCCGGGGC
rnacentral:rRNA from 1 species